AACCUUACCUGGCCUUGACAUACUAAGAACUUUCCAGAGAUGGAUUGGUGCCUUCGGGAACUUAGAUACAGGUGCUGCAUGGCUGUCGUCAGCUCGUGUCGUGAGAUGUUGGGUUAAGUCCCGCAACGAGCGCAACCCUUUUCCUUAUUUGCCAGCGGGUUAAGCCGGGAACUUUAAGGAUACUGCCAGUGACAAACUGGAGGAAGGCGGGGACGACGUCAAGUCAUCAUGGCCCUUACGGCCAGGGCUACACACGUGCUACAAUGGUCGGUACAAAGGGUUGCUACCUCGCGAGGGGAUGCUAAUCUCAAAAAGCCGAUCGUAGUCCGGAUCGCAGUCUGCAACUCGACUGCGUGAAGUCGGAAUCGCUAGUAAUCGCGGAUCAGAAUGCCGCGGUGAAUACGUUCCCGGGCCUUGUACACACCGCCCGUCACACCAUGGGAGUUUGUUGCACCAGAAGUAGGUAGUCUAACCGCAAGGAGGACGCUUACCACGGUGUGGCCGAUGACUGGGGUGAAGUCGUAACAAGGUAAGCGUAGAUGA
rnacentral:rRNA from 1 species